CACCGGUGCACUGAAGGGCCUAAUAAUCUGCUGUAUGGGUCUGCGGCUUCGGUUAAUCUGUGGGGAGGACUGAAAGAGGAGGAGAGGUCAAGAAAUAUAUUUCCACUGCCUGUGAUGAACAGUGUCAAGAACUGCAACGCUAAGGGUCAGUGAAAGAGCCCUCCCACCUCCUCCAAGACGAUGCCGCCACAACCAGUACCCGGUCGUCAUAGCGAUGCCUGUUCCUCAUUGCCCUAUCAAGCUCUCAAACAAAGUGUGAAUGAAACUGAAGCAAACAAUUUUGGUGGAGAAGAACAAGGAGAAGAGGUGGAGGACUGACCCAUUGUGAGGCCUCACUGGGUCUUAACAAGUAAACACGGUGUAACUCACUGCUGCUAAACCUGUCAUCCGAAUUAAGAGCCCCUAUUAGAUCUGCCUGUUUCAAAGCCUGUGCUAAAUUAAAGGAUGUGAAACACUGAGGAUCCCCGGGUCAUGAAAGAGCAUAUAAUCUAAACGACUUUGUGAAUCAUCUUGGGAAUCGGUUUAUUUUGAGUUGCUUUAGCACAGCUUGAACAAAACUACGGAUUUACAGUACAUGUCAUCUUUCUCAAACCUCCCUUAUACAUAGCUUCACACACAAAUAUACUCUCACAUAUACACAAGCAACUUUAUUUUUUUAACGAUACACCUAACUGGACCUGUUUUAGCAAACCCAAUCAAAUGGAAAUGAAAUAGGAAUAAAAAUGUAAUUAUUUAA